rnacentral:sRNA from 1 species
AUGGCUGUCGUCAGCUCGUGUCGUGAGAUGUUCGGUUAAGUCCGGCAACGAGCGCAACCCCUGUCUUUAGUUGCCAUCAUUUAGUUGGGCACUCUAAAGAGACCGCCGGUGAUAAGCCGGAGGAAGGUGGGGACGACGUCAAGUCCUCAUGGCCCUUACGGGAUGGGCUACACACGUGCUACAAUGGCAGUGACAAUGGGUUAAUCCCUAAAAACUGUCUCAGUUCGGAUUGGGGUCUGCAACUCGACCCCAUGAAGUCGGAAUCGCUAGUAAUCGCGUAACAGCAUGACGCGGUGAAUACGUUCCCGGGCCUUGUACACACCGCCCGUCACACCAUGGGAAUUGGUUUUACCCGAAGACUGUGUGCCAACCUUAGGGAGGCAGCAGGCCACGGUAGGAUCAGUGACUGGGGUGAAGUCGUAACAAGGUAGCCGUAGGGGAACCUGCGGCUGGAUCACCUCCUUUCUAAGGAUGUCUUUAGUAUUGAUGUACUUAGGUGCUUUAAUCGUAAGACCACUUAGCAGCCUAUCUAUUAGGCAUAAUUGAUCAAACCCCCCUCUUAUCUCUUCAAAUCAUUUAGGUCGAGCUAUCGACUUAAGCAUCAGAACAAACUUUUUCUAAGUUAAAGUGAUUGUCUUGGGGUCGGUAGCUCAGGUGGUUAGAGCGCACGCCUGAUAAGCGUGAGGUCGGAGGUUCAAGUCCUCCUCGACCCACCAUUUUCUUGUUCUUAAAAAAGGGGCGUUAGCUCAGAUGGGAGAGCACCUGCUUUGCAAGCAGGGGGUCAUCGGUUCGAUCCCGAUACGCUCCACCAUAUUUAGAUAUGAUUGAUGAAUAUUUUUUUUAAAUAUUCAUUUGUCUUAUGUAAGGCAAAAUUGACAUUGUUAAGAGAGUAAUACACGAGACGUUUUUGUGGGUCAUCCAAGUGCGGAUGUUCUGGGAAGCACUGAAAAGUGUUUCAACAAAAACAGUCUUUCCAAGUCUAAAUAUAACUGACCGAGAAGAUUUCAUUUAGUGUUUAAUAUCACUUUUGAAGUCUUUUUAUUUAUUUGUUAUUAUCAAUUGAUAAUGACUUUCGCUCUGGUAGUUGAUCUAUUUUAUCUUCUACUGGAUCGAAUCAAGCGCAAAAAGGGCGUUUGGUGGAUGCCUAGGCAAUAAGAGGCGAUGAAGGACGUGAUACUCUGCGAAAAGCCAUGGGGAGCUGAGAAUAAGCUUUGAGCCAUGGAUGUCCGAAUGGGGAAACCCGG